rnacentral:lncRNA from 1 species
UUUACAAGCUUCUGUUUCCAAAGUUUUCUCCCCUCCGGCAAAUCUCAGUGCCAUUGCUUCAAAAUCUCUUUCUUACAAGGAAGUAGCUGUAGCACCUCCAGGUACAGUUCUAAAGCCAUUACAGGAGAAGGUAGAAGAACAAAAUGAGGAAAAAACUGAACAGCAAAAUGAGGAAAAAACUGAACAGCAGAUGUGCACCAUCCCACCUGAGACACCAAAGGUGGAUGUUGGAAACAAUAUCUCUGUUGAUGAUGUAGCAGAAGAUGAUGAUGAAAAUGAAGGAACUCAUGAUAGUGAAAAUCAAUCAGAAGAAAC